rnacentral:rRNA from 1 species
CUAGCUGGUCUGAGAGGAUGACCAGCCACACUGGAACUGAGACACGGUCCAGACUCCUACGGGAGGCAGCAGUGGGGAAUAUUGCACAAUGGGCGCAAGCCUGAUGCAGCCAUGCCGCGUGUAUGAAGAAGGCCUUCGGGUUGUAAAGUACUUUCAGCGGGGAGGAAGGGAGUAAAGUUAAUACCUUUGCUCAUUGACGUUACCCGCAGAAGAAGCACCGGCUAACUCCGUGCCAGCAGCCGCGGUAAUACGGAGGGUGCAAGCGUUAAUCGGAAUUACUGGGCGUAAAGCGCACGCAGGCGGUUUGUU